GCUGGGCGUGGUGGCGGACACCUGUAAUCCCAGCUAUUUGGGAGGCUGAGGCAGGAGAAUCGCUUGAACCCAGGAGGCAGAGGUUGCAGUGAGCUGAAAUCGCACCACUGCACUCCAGCCUGGGUGACAGAGUGAGACUCUGUCUCAA
ensembl:misc_RNA Metazoa_SRP Metazoan signal recognition particle RNA